rnacentral:rRNA from 1 species
UAAUACGUAGGUGGCAAGCGUUGUCCGGAUUUACUGGGCGUAAAGGAUGCGUAGGCGGAUAUUUAAGUGGGAUGUGAAAUACCCGGGCUUAACCUGGGUGCUGCAUUCCAAACUGGAUAUCUAGAGUGCGGGAGAGGAAAGUGGAAUUCCUGGUGUAGCGGUGAAAUGCGUAGAGAUUAGGAAGAACACCAGUGGCGAAGGCGACUUUCUGGACCGUAACUGACGCUGAGGCAUGAAAGCGUGGGGAGCAAACAGG